AGGGUUUGAUCAUGGCUCAGAACGAACGCUGGCGGCACGCCUAACACAUGCAAGUCGAACGGUAACAUUUCUAGCUUGCUAGAAGAUGACGAGUGGCGGACGGGUGAGUAAUGCUUGGGAACUUGCCUUUGCGAGGGGGAUAACAGUUGGAAACGACUGCUAAUACCGCAUAAUGUCUUCGGACCAAACGGGGCUUCGGCUCCGGCGCAAAGAGAGGCCCAAGUGAGAUUAGCUAGUUGGUAAGGUAACGGCUUACCAAGGCGACGAUCUCUAGCUGUUCUGAGAGGAAGAUCAGCCACACUGGGACUGAGACACGGCCCAGACUCCUACGGGAGGCAGCAGUGGGGAAUAUUGCACAAUGGGGGAAACCCUGAUGCAGCCAUGCCGCGUGUGUGAAGAAGGCCUUCGGGUUGUAAAGCACUUUCAGUUGUGAGGAAAAGUUAGUAGUUAAUACCUGCUAGCCGUGACGUUAACAACAGAAGAAGCACCGGCUAACUCCGUGCCAGCCGCCGCGGUAAUAC
rnacentral:rRNA from 1 species